AGAACGAACGCUGGCGGCAUGCCUAACACAUGCAAGUCGAACGCUCUUGGGGCUUCGGUUCCAAGGGAGUGGCGCACGGGUGAGUAGCGCGUGGGAACCUGCCCUGUUGUGGGGGAUAACCGAGGGAAACUUCGGCUAAUACCGCAUAAGCCGGUUGUCUUGAAAGAGAUGGCCGGGAAAGAUUUAUCGCGACAGGAGGGGCCCGCGUCGGAUUAGCUAGUUGGUGGGGUAACGGCCCACCAAGGCAGUGAUCCGUAGCUGGUCUGAGAGGAUGAUCAGCCACACUGGGACUGAGACACGGCCCAGACUCCUACGGGAGGCAGCAGUGGGGAAUAUUGGACAAUGGGCGCAAGCCUGAUCCAGCAAUGCCGCGUGAGUGAUGAAGGCCUUAGGUUGUAAAGCUCUUUCGCCCGCGACGAUGAUGACGGUAGCGGGAGAAGAACGCCCCGGCUAACUUCGUGCCAGCAGCCGCGGUAA
rnacentral:rRNA from 1 species